CUUGUUUGUGUGGAUCUGUACUUUUUCUUGGCUCCAUCCUAUACACUUUUUGUAAAAAGCCCGGCAGUUGCACAGUAAUCGUACAGCGUGUUCUCGUCUUUGGUCCAAACAUUCUUAUGUUUGUGGCCUUCAUCCUUUGGGGUGUGCUUAAUGGAUUUAUCAGUGAGGCUGCCACUUGUUCAGCUGUUAAUCUUCUAAGGACUCUUUGGCUACUUGUAUUUUGUCCAUACUUUAAACGUUUUCAUGGCAUAGUCCAAUUUUCACUUAUCACAGCGGAAUGUGUUGCAUUGUCUGUAAUUGCUGCUGUAGGUAAGUACCCAUGAUUUUUACAUAUUAACACAAGAUGACAUUUAUAAAUAUAUACAUACAUAAACAAUUGGCGAAACAAAUGAAUGUCACUAUUCCACGGUCAUUAAAUAUAAUUAUU